CUUGGUCAUUUAGAGGAAGUAAAAGUCGUAACAAGGUUUCCGUAGGUGAACCUGCGGAAGGAUCAUUAUAAUUGUUUUUACACCCUUUUAGGCACAAACUCUAAAUCUUACCUUCAAUAAUUUUUUAAAAAAACUUUCAACAACGGAUCUCUUGGUUCUCGCAUCGAUGAAGAACGCAGCGAAUUGCGAUACGUAAUAUGACUUGCAGACGUGAAUCAUUGAAUCUUUGAACGCACAUUGCGCCCCGGGGUAUUCCCCAGGGCAUGCGUGGGUGAGCGAUAUUUACUCUCAAACCUCCGGUUUGGUCCUGCUUCGGCCUAAUAUCAACGGCGCUAGAAUAAGUUUUAGCCCCAUUCUUCUUCCUCACCCUCGUAAGACUACCCGCUGAACUUAAGCAUAUCAAUAAGCGGAGGAAAAGAAACCAACAGGGAUUGCCUCAGUAACGGCGAGUGAAGCGGCAAAAGCUCAAAUUUGAAAUCCCCCGGGAAUUGUAAUUUGAAGAGAUUUGGGUCCGGCCGGCGGGGGUUAAGUCCACUGGAAAGUGGCGCCACAGAGGGUGACAGCCCCGUGAACCCCUUCAACGCCUUCAUCCCAGAUCUCCAAGAGUCGAGUUGUUUGGGAAU
rnacentral:sRNA from 1 species